GCCAGAAAUUACACCCUGACUUCUUUUGUUUUUCAGAGCUCCCUCAGAAGACAAACAAAUUCUCUAUUCCUCUGGGAGUGGUGGGUAAGCUAUUUUUCUGCCUUUACUUUACUCUGUUACCCUUACAGCAUCUGCCCUGUUUCUAUUUCAAGGUUGUUUCUCUUAUUUUCCAUUACCCAGUAUUACAUACAGUUACU
rnacentral:lncRNA from 1 species